rnacentral:lncRNA from 1 species
CUCGCGGAGCCGCGCCUGGCUCGGCCGCGGCCCCGAGCGCCGUGUCCGCGGCCGCUGCCGCCGUUCCCCGCGUAAAGACUCGCCGCUGCCGGAAACGCGAGUUCCGCCGCCUUCAGAGUUCGCUGCGGAACUGCCGAGCAAAGAUCUUGAUGCAUUUGGCAAGUGAUAUACUGACAUGCACAACACCUGUGUAGAACGAUCUUGUGAUGAAAGGUAAUUUGAUUUGCCGCGUGUUGCACAAGAGUGAUUACAAACAGGGGUAUCAGGGUAAAAGCAGGAGAUAGUCUUG